rnacentral:rRNA from 1 species
CCAAUAGCGUAUAUUAAAGUUGUUGUGGUUAAAAAGCUCGUAGUUGAACCUUGGGCCUGGCUGGCCGGUCCGCCUCACCGCGUGCACUGGUCCGGCCGGGCCUUUCCCUCUGCGGAACCCCAUGCCCUUCACUGGGCGUGGCGGGGAAACAGGACGUUUACUUUGAAAAAAUUAGAGUGCUCAAGGCAGGCCUAUGCUCGAAUACAUUAGCAUGGAAUAAUAGAAUAGGACGUGUGGUUCUAUUUUGUUGGUUUCUAGGACCGCCGUAAUGAUUAAUAGGGACAGUCGGGGGCAUCAGUAUUCAAUUGUCAGAGGUGAAAUUCUCGGAUCUAUUGAAGACUAACUACUGCGAAAGCAUUUGCCAAGGAUGUUUUCAUUAAUCAGGAACGAAAGUUAGGGGAUCGAAGACGAUCAGAUACCGUCGUAGUCUUAACCAUAAACUAUGCCGACUAGGGAUCGGACGAUGUUACAUUUUUGACGCGUUCGGCACCUUACG